rnacentral:rRNA from 6 species
UCGUCACACUAUCAUUAACUGAAUCCAUAGGUUAAUGAGGCGAACCGGGGGAACUGAAACAUCUAAGUACCCCGAGGAAAAGAAAUCAACCGAGAUUCCCCCAGUAGCGGCGAGCGAACGGGGAGGAGCCCAGAGCCUGAAUCAGCAUGUGUGUUAGUGGAAGCGUCUGGAAAGGCGCGCGAUACAGGGUGACAGCCCCGUACACAAAAGCGCAUGUGCUGUGAGCUCGAUGAGUAGGGCGGGACACGUGGUAUCCUGUCUGAAUAUGGGGGGACCAUCCUCCAAGGCUAAAUACUCCUGACUGACCGAUAGUGAACCAGUACCGUGAGGGAAAGGCGAAAAGAACCCCGGCGAGGGGAGUGAAAAAGAACCUGAAACCGUGUACGUACAAGCAGUGGGAGCAC